rnacentral:rRNA from 1 species
UACGGAGGAUCCGAGCGUUAUCCGGAUUUAUUGGGUUUAAAGGGUGCACAGGCGGAAUAUUAAGUCGGCGGUGAAAGUUUGCAGCUUAACUGUAAAAUUGCCGUUGAUACUGGUAUUCUUGAGUGUAUAUGAAGUAGGCGGAAUUUGUAGUGUAGCGGUGAAAUGCAUAGAUAUUACAAGGAACUCCGAUUGCGAAGGCAGCUUACUAAAUUACAACUGACGCUUAGGCACGAAGGCGUGGGUAUCAAACAGGAAUAGAUACCCCGGUAGUCCCUGAG